rnacentral:rRNA from 1 species
AUUAAACGCUGGCGGCAUGCCUUACACAUGCAAGUCGAACGGCAGCACGGGGUGGUAACACUCUGGUGGCGAGUGGCGGACGGGUGAGUAAAGCAUCGGAACGUGCCCUGGAAUGGGGGAUAACGUAGCGAAAGUUACGCUAAUACCGCAUAUUCUGUGAGCAGGAAAGCAGGGGAUCGCAAGACCUUGCGUUCGAGGAGCGGCCGAUGUCGGAUUAGCUAGUUGGUGGGGUAAAGGCCUACCAAGGCGACGAUCCGUAGCGGGUCUGAGAGGAUGAUCCGCCACACUGGGACUGAGACACGGCCCAGACUCCUACGGGAGGCAGCAGUGGGGAAUUUUGGACAAUGGGCGCAAGCCUGAUCCAGCCAUGCCGCGUGAGUGAAGAAGGCCUUCGGGUUGUAAAGCUCUUUCGGUGGGGAAGAAAUUGCACGGGAUAAUACCCUGUGUAGAUGACGGUACCUGGAGAAGAAGCACCGGCUAACUACGUG